rnacentral:rRNA from 1 species
UACAGAGGGUGCGAGCGUUGUCCGGAAUCACUGGGCGUAAAGGGCGCGUAGGUGGUGGCUUAAGCGUGCGGUGAAAGCUCGGGGCUCAACUCCGAGUCGGCCGUGCGAACUGGGCUCACUGGAGCAUAGUAGAGGCAGGUGGAAUUCCGGGUGUAGCGGUGGAAUGCGUAGAGAUCCGGAAGAACACCAGUGGUGCAAACGGCGCCCUGGGUCCGAACUGACGCUGAAGCACGAAAGCGUGGGGAGCGAACGGG